CCCACCAAGCUGCAUUCAUCCGAAGGCCACAUGCGUUUUAUAUUGGCCACAUGCACAACUGGGUUAUUUGCUCGGGCGGAGAUCUUGCUUUGAGACUCAAAUAACAUUGAUUCUUUUAUGAGACUUUUGAAAUGUUGACUGGCAUCUAUUUGUGAGAUUCUGAUCUUUUCUGUGCCACCUUUGUCUUGUUUGCAGUCCCCCCCCACCUCCCACCUCCCUGGGACCAAGCACACAUCAGUGAGGGCUUUAAGAGGUGGUGUGGAUUCCAUUUUGGAGAGGAUCAUUUUUUGGCACCUGGAAGUGGCUUGGAGCUUUGGGAGAAUUGCGGUCCUCAGGAAGCCACAACGUCACAAUGUAUGUCACUUAUUUUCCUGUCUGCAAAUAGUUAAGCCGAAGACGUACUUUUGGACACACUUUGAUCUUGAGUAUACUUUCGGUCACAAUUAUGUCGUUAAAAUUUGAACUUGAACAAUUUGAAACAAUGGUUACAAUGGUUUAAAGUCGACUUCAAUGAAGCUUAAUAUUUCAUAGAAACGUGAAGUGGUUCACAGUAAUUGAUGAAAUACACAUCCACUUGAAAGUUUUUGGACCCCUUCUCGAUGAAAUACAACUAGUGGUCGCUGGUGUGAAAUCCACUUUGAGGAGGUCAAAUCUUCCCACUGGGAGUGUGAAGAGGAAACUAAACUAAAAAUAAAAAUUCAAAACUGUUGUCCUUCAAGAGCAGAAUUGGGCAGAAUUGCGGUAUUGAAACCUGAAACCCGACGAUGUAUUUUGAGGUCUGAUUUAGUGGCUAAAAUUGAGUGUGACUGUUAGACGUUAGUUGAGUUCGAGUUACUGGUAAAACUUUAAUUCAGAUUUCAGAUUGGCAUGGCUAAGAAUCAGCACAGACGAUCAUGCUAUUUAGCUAAAAAAGAAAAAAAAUCUUUUUUUAAAAUGUUUGUAUUUUUUGCCUCGCUUAAAAUUUUAGAUUAAAACUAAAGGCUAAGUGUUUGUCCUAAAUCGGACCUGCACACGUUUGCAGUGGCUUUGCUGGGAACAGGAGCGUCGCCGUCGGCCGUACGACAGGAGCCCUUAGCCCUUAUUUCAAAUCUGGACACGAGCCCUUAUAGACUACUUGUAUAAUCGCAAUUGAAGAAAAAUAAGAACGAAAACUGAUUGUUUUGUGCAUUUAUUUUUAAAGAUCGCACAAAUGAGUAAAACCAUAUAUUAGCACCCUUUAACCCUUUUUAAGAUGGAGAUCAAAUAAAGCAGAAAUGACGGCGUAAAAUAACACCAAAUAUAACAUUUACUGAACAGUGACUGCAGACAUAUCAAACAAAGCACAUAUGAUUUUUUGCACUACUGCAAACAAUGGCAAUUUUGAAAUCGAAGACAAUGUCCCGCAGCAUGUAAAGUUUCAGCCUGUCUGUGCAUACUCAUUUUUGUUUUUGUUUACCAGCAUAAUAUUUAAGACAGACAAGAAGUACCAGGGGAAGUUUGGGUAUCCCUGCUGAAACAACAUCCCCCGCGACAUGACCCGUAAAAGCGGGAGAAAAUGGAUGAAGUAAACUCUCUCGCCUCUGGACAUGUCCAAACCAUGGAAAUCUGCUCUCUCGAACCUUGUCUCCAAAACAUCCAACUUUGACUGUCCCUCUAAUGAGCUCAUCUCUAAUCCUAUCCAACCUGCUCACCCCGAGCAAAAACUUCAUUUCUGCCACCUCCAGUUCUGCUUCCUGUUGUUUCUUCAGUGCCACCGUCUCUAAUCCGUCCAUCAUGGCUGACCUCACCACUGUUUGAUAAACUUUGCCCUUCAUCCUAACAGAGAGACUCUUCUGUCACAUAGAACACCAGACACCUUCCUCCAACUGUUCCACCCCGCUUGGACCCGUUUCUUCACUUCCUUACCACACUCCCCGAUGCUUUGUAUUGUACACCAAGUAUUUGAAGUCAUCCACCUUCGGUAUCUCUUCUCCCUUUAGCCUCACUCUUCCCCCUCCACCCCUCUCAGGAUCCCCCCAAAAAACAUGUUGCAUCAUUACCAAAGAAUAAUGGCUCUGAUUUCAAUGAUUUUAAUCUGAAUUAUAAUUUUUUUUGUCCAAUAUUUAUAUUAAUCUUGAAUGAUUUAAGCAACUAGCUAAAGAGAAAUUUUAGGGGGUCUUUGGGUUACUUUUGUAGACUGUUAAAAUGGCAUUACUUUCCUUUUCUGUUUUUAAGUGUUAAGGUGCAGUUGUGACCAGGAUGAGCGACUCCACACGGAUCAUGUGGUUCACAACCCAGUUGGCCAAGACGAUGGGAGGAAACGCGCUCGUCUCAAGUACGCGAGGACAAUUCAUCGACGACGAUGGCGUGAUUGCUGUAGCUGACGUACGUCGUCUUAGUGGAUGAAGCUGCGCGACAAAAGAGGGGACGGUUAUUUUGGCGGGGAAAUGGCCAGCUGUGUUCUUAGUGGUUAGAGAACACGAGCUAAAUGUGGGCCUUGACCCUUCAGCGCAUUUGUCCACCAACAGAAGAUGGGAGGAAGUGCACGCCACACUUGGAUCGGCUCCGUCUUGACUUCUCCAUUGGGUCGAUCGCUCCCCUUCUGCGACAGCUUCCCGGACAUGGUCGCCGCGGUCACGAUGGCCUAGUGGACGGACAAACACGGGAGUCACCCAUUGUAUCAUUCCACACACACAAAGUACU